CACGUGGCCUGGGCCGCGCCGACCAAUGGAAGCGCGUGUUUCUGAAAGAUCUCCAUAUAUGGCGAUCGGAAGCGCACACGUGUGAACCCCAGU